CGCCGAGGCUGGGGGCUGUGCUGACCCCCCAAAGGACGCAGGCUGGAUGCUCAGCCCCUGGAGGAGCCAGCAGCCACCUCUCAUCACAGCCAACCGCCGAACCCCACGCAGCCCCACACAGACACAACGGACACGAAUUCGUUUCCACUACUGUCUCAGUGUACUUUAUUCUCCUGCUGUCUACAGCUGAACAGCCACACAGGACAGAAACAGGAAAUCCCACCCCGCCUCAAGAACCGAAAUAAAAAGAAAAGGCAUCGCUCGAGCUCAUGGCCCAGGGCCUCUCGCUGCUCCUCACCUCAGCGGCCUGGGAGCUCGGCUCAGGUUUUGUACACUGGUUCAAAGUCGGCACUUGGGACUGCGAUCUGAACCCAGCACUGGAAGGCACGUAUCUGAUACCCUGUAUGAGAGCUGCGGGCACCGCGGAUCAGAUUGGGGGGAGAGGAAACUUUGGGGGGGGGGGGGGAA